AGACGCUAGGUGGAACCCUUGGGUUGCAGUUCCACUGCAGCUGCGGAUGGCAGGAAGAGGAGGACUUGUGCUUUCAGAAAGGAGAGCUUUUCGUUUCUUCUUACCUUCACAUGCUAGAAAGGGAAGUCUAAGCUCUUCUGAUGCACCAUGGGGUGAGCAAAGGAAUGGAGAAGUGUCAGUCCCAUCCCGGGUCGUCCCUGCAACAGGAUCAUUACAAUGACUUCGAGAGCUUCAUGGAUGGUCUGCAGACAGAUGCACAAUUGUGAAGCAUCAAUAUGGACUGUAAAUCUUUACUGUCAGUCAGCUCCUCUUCCCUCUGCAUAAUGUAAUCCAUAAUCCGUACUGCUACAAUGCCUGCACAGAUACACAUUUGCAAAGAUAUUUCUCUGGAGAUAGCGUGCAUAGAAAACACUCCCUUACUUGUUCUCAUCUCUAGCAACAUUAUACCGAGUUCCAGUUCCCAGUUCCCUGUGUUCCCCCUCCUACAACUGGCAUGCAGCCAACUCUGAACUGCGGCUAUUAAACAUCACACAAGCAACACCACAAAACAGAUUGUGGAAAGCACAGGAAUUCAAAGAAAAGCAACAAAUUGAGUGAGGUCUGGGAGGUGAUAACAAAGGAUCAUAGGGAAUGAAUUACUGUGUUGCAGAAUAGCCAUCACCUUGAUGUUCAGGUGAUACCAGGAUGAAAGGGCAAGUUUUUGAGGGUGGCACAAAGAGAUGUCACUAGGUGCAGUCAGGUUUCAGUCAGGGAGAUGAGUAAAUCAGCUUCUUUAACCAGUGAGUUUUGUCAGUCUUUCAGAGUCUGAACGAAAGGGCUGAAGGCAUCAUUGCUUGGGGCUUUUAAAAUUGGUCAAGACAGGCCAAGGCACUUUCAGGACAAAUGAAUAAAACAAGAUGGAGCAA